rnacentral:tRNA from 1 species
UAAGAAAGAAGGUUCUUAGUAGGGCUGCUAACUUUACUUAAAGAGAUUCAAUUCUCUUUUUCUUAU